UCUAGGGACCAUGCCACCCUGAACAAGUCCAAUCCCAUCUGAUCUCGGAAGCUAAGCAGGAUUGGGCCUGUUUAGUACUUGGAUGAGAGACCACCUUGGAAGACCAGGUGUUGUAAGCG
ensembl:rRNA 5S_rRNA 5S ribosomal RNA